CUACGGAGGGUCCAAGCGUUAUGCGGAUUCAUUGGGUUUAAAGGGUCCGCAGGCGGGAAAAUAAGUCAGUGGUGAAAGCCUACAGCUCAACUGUAGAACUGCCAUUGAUACUGUUUUUCUUGAGUAUAGAUGAAGUGGGCGGAAUAUAUCAUGUAGCGGUGAAAUGCAUAGAUAUGAUAUAGAACACCGAUUGCGAAGGCAGCUCACUAAACUAUUACUGACGCUCAGGGACGAAAGCGUGGGGAGCGAACAGGAUUAGAAACCCUAGUAGUCC
rnacentral:rRNA from 1 species